rnacentral:misc_RNA from 1 species
UUUCCGUAGGUGAACCUGCGGAAGGAUCAUUAUCAAAAAAUGGAGGUGCGAGGGCUGAAAAUGACCCGAAAGGUCGUGCACGCCGGAGUGCCCUCACACAAAUACAUCUCACCCCUAUGUGCACCACUGCGGCAGCCGCCCUUGGGCCUGUACGGAGGGGGGCUUACGUUUUAACACUAACUCUGUAUGGAGUGUAUAUUGUAUUCUAUGUUUUUGCGACUACGCAAUCAUAACAACUUUUAACAACGAAUCACUUGUCUCUCGCCGCGACGAAGAACG